AAGUCCUACAGUGAAAACAGGAAAGAUGAAUGAUGACACUAACCAGUGAAACAAAACAAAAGGCAAAAAUACCCAAAGACGACCAAAAAAAAGCCCCGUUUGGAAGGAAACUCAACACAAAGGUUUCCCCCAACCUCCUUGUUGUUUUUUUUUUCUCCUUAAUACACUACGAAGAGCACAAAGGGCAUACGUAGGAUUUCUUUCCCUUUGGGACCCGACUGCAAACCACAUAAUGGCAAAAGACGCUCAAAUAAGUUGGCCAGGAGGCUGGAGCAAAUGCCUGGCCCUAAUGGAAAUGCCUCAGCCCCGUUGUUGAUCCCAGGACCUCUGUUUCUUCUCAAGGAAAGCUCCAGCUCUCCAGCACACCCAGGGAACUGCUGCUUUAAAUUUUACCAGCCUUUCCUUUCCACUUUCGAAUUACAAAGGACACUUUCUGAGGUCUGUGGUGGUUUAGGAUCCUCACAGUCUAAGGAAGCUUUCUGAAAAUCCAAAUCCAGUAUGUUCAACUUAUCUCCAUCCUUGUUACCGCCCUCAAGGAGCUGUGGCAGGCUGAUGAGGCAGGAUUGCCCCUUGUGGACACGGAGGUGACUCUUUCCCUUGACAUCCCGUUUGUCCGUGUGUCCUUACGGCUCUGCUGCCACCGGGGGGAUGGAAAUCAGGCUCACCAGCCUGGUGCCUGGUUACCUAUUUAUUUUAAGUUACCUAUUUAUUUAUUUUAAAUAUCUCGUGUUGAUAAGACCAUUGUGAAACUCCGUAUCCACGUGUGGGAUUCACUUGGGGCGUUCUCUCCCAUUGCAACACCGACCUAACCCUAACGGUGCUGUGGUUGUUAUCACAGAUCUGCUCGCCUAUUAACGCCUCCUGAGAUUGUGCCCAUUGCCUCUCGUCCUUUCACUAUCACUGAGAAGAAUUUGUCUCUGGCUUCUUUCCCUUGGCUUGCUCAGGAGGCCUUCAGCCAGAGAAAUCAACGUUUUUAUCAUCAUCACAGCCUGCUCUGGUUAAUAUUCGGGACAGCCAACAGGUGAAAGCAGAACCAUUUUAAGACCUGGUGUGCAUGACCCUAGCUGAGAUCCCUGAGGAGGAGAGCCCUGGACGGCUGCCCGCCCGGAUGGCCUCUCCGAAACAAGCCUUCGGCCACCUUCCCACGAGAGGACGUUGCUCACCAAGCAACCACCCCAUCUCUACCUUCAGUUCUCAAGGAAGACCUACAGGAACAGAAACUGCCUGCGGGGUCCCUCCCUUUGGCCAACGCUUUGACAGAAAGCAGUAACAGUCCUGUGAACCAGGCUGAUGUGUUACAUGCAGCCUCCUCAGCCAUUAUCCACCCAAGGGAAGGAGAAACAAGUUGCACUGGGUGGAUGCUGGGGCGUUUGAGGAGAGGCUGUCAGUAUUGGAACUGAGCAGAUGGUCGAGUUUCGUGUCCUGCAGGGAUUAACACUUGGUGAUGUCUGAACGACACAAACUGGUCCGGCUCGUAGCUGGGGAUCGCUGAGCUGCAGGUGAUUUACCUUUGAGAAAUGGUGAAUCAGACACGUUACAGUGCUGGGAAGAUGUUGGACAAAGGAAAGAGCCAGGAGAACACAGAGAAGUGUGGAGUCACUGCUUUCAGUUAAACAGAACAUACAUGAAGGCCAAGAUCUUCUACGAAGAUACUGUCCUUCUGGCAGAGUGACUCCAAAUGCUAUUCCCAGGAUCCUGGAAAGCCUGAAAAUGUAAGGAAUAGACACCCCUCCAGCAUUAUCUCCUUUUAAACCUCAGGCUGUCUGCUCCAUCCACAGAGGCAUUCUGGAAGACCAGUUAAACCCAACACCAACAGAUCCCCAACCAUUACUGCAUUUCACGUCAAAUCUGGACAAGCAAACCGAGUCCUUAGCUAAACAAAUUGUGCCACACCAGCAAGAGUUGAUCAUUUUGUAAAUCACACAGCAUAACUCUGAAAAAAACAAGGAGAACUGACUCAUGUUGUGAAACUGAGGGAUUUACUUACUGUCAAACUACUGGAGCUCGGUCAGUGAAGCACCGCUUCGUGAGGCAGGUAACAGGACCUACACUUCCCAAAACUGUACGUGGGGACCAAGAAAAUAGGUUAGGAAGUCAGUGCAAUGAAUAAAAAGUGAGCUGAUGUUUGAUUAAACAUUAAUCUGAUGAGAGAUGACAAAAACCAGAAUUCCUUAAAUUAGACUUAUUCCAAGCUGAUCUCACUGGAGGCCUCGCUCGCUGUUCUGAAACCUCAUUUUGGCAUAGGAGUGCACAGAGCAUGAACACACACAUGCUCAUUAUCUGAGUACAUUUGCAGGCUAUAAUUCUAGCAAACAUUAGAUUAAAUAAAAGUUCCUUGAACUUUGAAACAAAGAAAAAAGCCCGGACUUCUACUGUAAUUAAAAAUUUUGGAAACAGCCUUCAGUUCAAGCCCCAUGUUAGCCACUGGUGUUCAUCAGCUGCCACAAGGCCUCGAACCAGCACCAUAAAUGGGAAAACUUCCAGUUCUGUAACAAAAUGUCUAGCAGGAUGGAGUAGUCCUCACACAGGCUGACAUGAUUUUUAGUAAGAUAUUUCAUUUUUAUUUGUGCUCACUAUAGAAGCUGUUCUUGACAGCUUAGACCUAUGGGUGUCUCCAGACCUCAGUGUCUCUACCAAACAGGCAAGGCCAGCACUCAGCCUCCAAGGAGACAACGAUAUGGGGAAGAGCACACAGCAUUUCACACAGCCUCCAGAAGUCAGCUAUCUUUAUUAUUUAGUUCUGUUUCAAUGUGUAUGCUUCAUUAAGCCGCUACAGCUGCCUUCAUGCCUGUUUAAGCAUUUUUAGCAACCUUUAGGCAUUACUGCCUUCACACCGCGCCACUUUCAACAAGAAAACUUACCUGCCAGAGGUUAUAAUGUUACCUGAAAAAGUCCUCUCACUAGGGAAGGUGGCUUAAUGAGAAUUUCACCUUCUGCAGGUCAUAACAAAUUAACUACGAUUUUCUUCUUGCUUUGCAUUAAGAGAAUGUCAUCUAUUCUUUUUUUUCUUUGGCAAUGGAAAAUGAGAUAUUUUUGCAUGUACUUGAUCCUUCAUCUGCAUUCCUGCCUUCUGAUAUUUAGAUAAUCAUAAUUUAAUAGAGCAGAAAUAGUGUUUUACAAGGAGCUUCUGCCCACAGUUGGUUAAACAUCUGAUAACCUAUGUGCAGCAGGAUUCUUCUAUAAGAGGAACCAGCACGGCUUCCCCACGAGCAGCUGUUAAUGCAGGCACACAUUCAAACAUGCAGUUGUCCGAAAUAGCAGCGCUGCAGACACUGAAAGUCAAGAAGGGCCAGCUCGGGUUGCAGGACUAUGAAACGGGGCAAUCACAAGCCGGUGAAAUCCUUCUCCCUGCUAAGAGGCUAUUGCUGCUCCCUCCUUGCACUUCUUACAGGCACUGGGAUUGGCUUCUAAGCCGUGAUUCAUAACGGUAUCACCCUGCUCUGCCUCCCCUGCUGCUGUCCUGGCUCAUUGCAUUUCCCUCCUAUUUUCUGCAAACCAUGCCACCCAACAAAUUCUGCUCUGAACGUCUCUUCAUUUUUACCCAGAAGGUAGCUUUAAAUCGCAAACUGAAAGAACACAGCACUGGCAGACACAGGAGUGACUUGCUCAUGCUUUGACUUCAGCAGAAAUUCUGAUUUUUCCUUUUCAGUUCUGGCAAUUUCCAAUAGAUUUCCGAUACCCUUGGCACUAAUGAAGAACAAUAAUUGUCUCAUCACAGCCAUUAGGUAAUAUUGGUUGUUUAAUGCUUAGCUUAGUGGUUUACAAACUCUGAAUACCUACAGUAGAGAUUUUUCAGGGUUCUGCACACAAACUGCCUCAGCUGCAACAUCAGAGCAUCAGUUCUGCUUUGCGUAAGAGCACAGACCGCACCAGGUAAUCUCACUGUCAAUCUGAGACUUCGAGUUUUCAUCUCGGAUUUCACUGGCAGCAUGACCCUGGGAACACUUCGCUCAGCAACAAACAGUAAAGAACUACCAAGAAGUUGCAUUUGUUUCCCACUAAUGUAUAUGUUAAGUGUCUGUCUUUGAAGUAUUUUUCAUCUCUGCACAAAAGAUGCCAGGAAGCACUAAUUCAGCUGAAAUACUCAAAUACUUUUAAGACAAUACAUGUAUCAUACCACCUGCAAGUGUUUGUACAGAAUUAUCUCUCCUGUCACCAUAAACAAUUUUUAUAAUAUGAAGAGUUUUGAGAUUUAUGAUGAUUCAAGAGUAUUUCAGCACUUACCAUGUUUACAGAGAACUCGGGGUUAUUAAACUGUGCAGUGCUUGAAUUCUUCUAGACAGUCCCAACAUAAGGAAUGAGAAAUGUAGUAACAACUGGCAACCAUUUCUGCAAGAUUAUGGAUCACUUACCGAAUUUCAUGAAGUGUUUCCCAAGUAACCAAUUAACAAAGAUUAAUGUUGAAAUGGAAGAAAACAGAACGACGGAAAAGCUUUCUAACGUAAGAAUUCUCAGAUAAUUUAAGACUUACUUUAAUCACCAAUUCAAAUGCGAAUCAAGUGACAAUUUAACAAAGAGCUGGCUUCAGAAACAGGAACAAUGUCAGAAACAACUGGCUUCAGAAAUUACCUUGUGUGUCAGCUGAGGAAGAAAUCAGUUCUGUUAAAAGGCAACUUUGGGUAUCAUGAGGCAAUUGCAUCUAAGCAGAUCCAGUCACAGCCUUUAAGAUACUUGAUCUCACUUUAUUUCCAGGUUAAAGUGCAUGUUGAUUUAAGUAUUUGCUAGACUUGGAAAUUCUGAAUAUAAGAGGCAGCAUUACACAACGAUGUUACUGAAUUUCUGAGCAAAUUACUUAAUUUGCAUUUCUCUGACACCUUAUGACCAAAAAUAUUCUGGUUAGAAAAAGAUCUACCUAGCUAACGAGCCCCUCUACAAUACACUGGUGAGUUGAUCAUUUCUCCAUACUCAAGAAAUGAAAAGCAGGUUGAGAGAUUAGCUGACCAACGCAAAACUCAAUCUCCAGAUCAGCUGCAGACCCAGGAACUUCGUAGGUCUUCUGUUUCGAUACUUCAAACUGAAACCAUGUUCCUCCUCUUAGCUUUUUGUGCUGAUACACCUCACAGUGCCAGAGCAUGUCUAGUAUGAAAUACUGUGCAGUAGUCAUACUGCCUCCACUUUGCACUCCAGUUGACUUUAUCUUGCUCACCAACUUGUCUUGCAACACUGUAAAAAAAUCACUUAAUCACUCCAUAAUUGUUUUUUUUUCUUACUUCCUUCUGCUGUUUUAGUGUGAGAAUACCUUGAGCGAAAAAAACUGUCUUGGAUCUGGAAAGUGCCCACCAAAAUGGGCUUCCUUGAUCGAGGUACCUGGAUAUAAUAACAAACAAUAAAGGAAAUCUUACUGACCUGCA